CUUAAAUUGAAGAGUUUGAUCAUGGCUCAGAUUGAACGCUGGCGGCAGGCCUAACACAUGCAAGUCGAGCGGUAACAGGAAGAAAGCUUGCUUUCUUUGCUGACGAGCGGCGGACGGGUGAGUAAUGCCUGGGAAUAUGCCUUAACGUGGGGGAUAACUAUUGGAAACGAUAGCUAAUACCGCAUGAUGCCUACGGGCCAAAGAGGGGGACCUUCGGGCCUCUCGCGUUAAGAUUAGCCCAGGUGGGAUUAGCUAGUUGGUGAGGUAAUGGCUCACCAAGGCGACGAUCCCUAGCUGGUCUGAGAGGAUGAUCAGCCACACUGGAACUGAGACACGGUCCAGACUCCUACGGGAGGCAGCAGUGGGGAAUAUUGCACAAUGGGCGCAAGCCUGAUGCAGCCAUGCCGCGUGUAUGAAGAAGGCCUUCGGGUUGUAAAGUACUUUCAGUCGUGAGGAAGGCAUUUGCGUUAAUAGCGUAGGUGUUUGACGUUAGCGACAGAAGAAGCACCGGCUAACUCCGUGCCAGCAGCCGCGGUAAUACGGAGGGUGCGAGCGUUAAUCGGAAUUACUGGGCGUAAAGCGCAUGCAGGUGGUUCGUUAAGUCAGAUGUGAAAGCCCGGGGCUCAACCUCGGAAUUGCAUUUGAAACUGGCGGACUAGAGUGCUGUAGAGGGGGGUAGAAUUUCAGGUGUAGCGGUGAAAUGCGUAGAGAUCUGAAGGAAUACCGGUGGCGAAGGCGGCCCCCUGGACAGACACUGACACUCAGAUGCGAAAGCGUGGGGAGCACACACGAUUAGCUACCCCCGUAGUCCACGCCG
rnacentral:rRNA from 1 species